AACGAACGUUGGCGGCAUGCCUAACACAUGCAAGUCGAACGAGACCUUCGGGUCUAGUGGCGCACGGGUGCGUAACGCGUGGGAACCUGCCCUUAGGUUCGGAAUAACUCCCCGAAAGGGGUGCUAAUACCGGAUAAUGUCUUCGGACCAAAGAUUUAUCGCCUUUGGAUGGGCCCGCGUUGGAUUAGCUAGUUGGUAGGGUAAUAGCCUACCAAGGCGACGAUCCAUAGCUGGUCUGAGAGGAUGAUCAGCCACACUGGGACUGAGACACGGCCCAGACUCCUACGGGAGGCAGCAGUGGGGAAUAUUGGACAAUGGGCGAAAGCCUGAUCCAGCAAUGCCGCGUGAGUGAUGAAGGCCUUAGGGUUGUAAAGCUCUUUUACCCGGGAUGAUAAUGACAGUACCGGGAGAAUAAGCUCCGGCUAACUCCGUG
rnacentral:rRNA from 1 species